rnacentral:rRNA from 1 species
AGUGAACGCUGGCGGUAGGCCUAACACAUGCAAGUCGAACGGCAGCACAGUAAGAGCUUGCUCUUACGGGUGGCGAGUGGCGGACGGGUGAGGAAUACAUCGGAAUCUACUUUUUCGUGGGGGACAACGUAGGGAAACUUACGCUAAUACCGCAUAUGACCUACGGGUUAAAGCAGGGGAUCUUCGGACCUUGCGCGACUGAAUGAGCUGAUGUCGGAUUAGCUAGUUGGCGGGGUAAAGGCCCACCAAGGCAACGAUCCGUAGCUGAUCUGAGAGGAUGAUCAGCCACACUGGAACUGAGACACGGUCCAGACUCCUACGGGAGGCAGCAGUGGGGAAUAUUGGGCAAUGGGCGCAAGCCUGAUCCAGCCAUACCGCGUGAGUGAAGAAGGCCUUCGGGUUGUAAAGCCCUUUUGUUGGGGAAGAAAAGCAGCAGGUUAAUACCCCGCUGUUCUGACGGUACCCAAAGAAUAAGCACCGGCUAACUUCGUG